UACGGGGGGGGGGCGAGCGUUGUCCGAAGUUACUGGGCGUAAAGCGCGUGUAGGCGGGUUGUUAAGUCCGCUGUGAAAGCCCGGUGCUCAACGCCGGAGGGUCGGUGGAUACUGGCAGUCUUGAAGUGGCUAGGGGGAAAGUGGAAUUACCGGUGUAGCGGUGAAAUGCGUAGAGAUCAGGAGGAACACCGGUGGCGAAGGCGGGUCUCUGGGCCGAUACUGACGCUGAGGAGCGAAAGCGUGGGGAGCGAACAGG
rnacentral:rRNA from 1 species